rnacentral:rRNA from 1 species
UACGUAGGGGGCGAGCGUUGUCCGGAAUUAUUGGGCGUAAAGAGCUCGUAGGCGGCUUGUCGCGUCGACUGUGAAAACUUGGGGCUCAACCCCAAGCUUGCAGUCGAUACGGGCAGGCUAGAGUUCGGUAGGGGAGACUGGAAUUCCUGGUGUAGCGGUGAAAUGCGCAGAUAUCAGGAGGAACACCGAUGGCGAAGGCAGGUCUCUGGGCCGAUACUGACGCUGAGGAGCGAAAGCGUGGGGAGCGAACAGG